AUCAUUUUUCCACAUUUCAAUCAGGAUCGAGUGUAGUAUCUAUUCUAAUCAAUUUGAUUUGUUCUCUCAACGGGAGCGUUAUAUCAAGCAGAUUUUUUUUUUUUUUUUAAGUAAGGAGUUGGGAUAGGAGUUUGCUCUUUCGGCUCCAUAUACCAGUCUGAUAUUGUAGCAUGUCUUAUGAUCUAGGAAAUAAGUU